GAAGCACCGUGCAUGUAACCCUCGGAGCCAUUCAGUGGCCGAGAGCGUUUUCACCAGCUAAUGCAUCCCAGCUGCCUUGCGGCCACUUGGCGGAGCGCGAGCCGAUGGGGGUGGUGGUUUCUUAUGAUCUCUGGAACGGCUGUACCUGGCUGUGAUUCUGGAACAGGAAAUUUCCUUCUGGUCCUGAAGACCUCUCCAGAUAUUUACCACCCCCCAUAAGGACAUCGGCCGCAUGGGUUUGCAUUGAAAUCCAUUGAGCAGGGAAGUAGAUGGGAAGUGGACGUAUCGGUACGCAUCAGGCUUGAAUAAAGAUUUGGGAACACGAAUGCGAAUGGAUCCU
rnacentral:lncRNA from 1 species